rnacentral:rRNA from 1 species
UUCUGGCUCAGGAUGAACGCUGGCGGCGUGCUUAACACAUGCAAGUCGAACGGGAUCCAUCAGGCUUUGCUUGGUGGUGAGAGUGGCGAACGGGUGAGUAAUGCGUGACCGACCUGCCCCAUACACCGGAAUAGCUCCUGGAAACGGGUGGUAAUGCCGGAUGCUCCAGUUGAUCGCAUGGUCUUCUGGGAAAGCUUUCGCGGUAUGGGAUGGGGUCGCGUCCUAUCAGCUUGACGGCGGGGUAACGGCCCACCGUGGCUUCGACGGGUAGCCGGCCUGAGAGGGCGACCGGCCACAUUGGGACUGAGAUACGGCCCAGACUCCUACGGGAGGCAGCAGUGGGGAAUAUUGCACAAUGGGCGCAAGCCUGAUGCAGCGACGCCGCGUGAGGGAUGGAGGCCUCGGGUUGUAACC